rnacentral:rRNA from 1 species
UACGAAGGGGGCUAGCGUUGUUCGGAAUUACUGGGCGUAAAGCGCACGUAGGCGGACUAUUAAGUCAGGGGUGAAAUCCCGGGGCUCAACCCCGGAACUGCCUUUGAUACUGGUAGUCUCGAGUCCGGAAGAGGUGAGUGGAAUUCCGAGUGUAGAGGUGAAAUUCGUAGAUAUUCGGAGGAACACCAGUGGCGAAGGCGGCUCGCUGGGACGUGACUGACGCUGAGACGCGAAAGCGUGGGGAGCAAACAGG